CCUACGGGAGGCAUCAGUCGAGAAUCAUUCACAAUGGGGGAAACCCUGAUGGUGCGACGCCGCGUGGGGGAAUGAAGGUCUUCGGAUUGUAAACCCCUGUCAUGUGGGAGCAAAGUAAAAAGAUAGUACCACAAGAGGAAGAGACGGCUAACUCAGUGCCAGAAGCCGCGGUAAUACAGAGGUCUCAAGCGUUGUGCGGAAUCACUGGGAGUAAAGCGUGCGUAGGCUGUUUCGUAAGUCGUGUGUGAAGGGCGCGGGCGCAACCCGCGGACGGCACAUGAUACUGCGAGACUAGAGUAAUGGAGGGGGAACCGGAAUUCUCGGUGUAGCAGUGAAAUGCGUAGAUAUCGAGCGGAACACUCGUGGCGAAGGCGGGUUCCUGGACAUUAACUGACGCUAAGGCACGAAGGCCAGGGGAGCGAAAGGGAUUAGAUACCCCGGUAGUC
rnacentral:rRNA from 1 species